UCUGUGUAACAGAGUUUGGUUUGGAAUUUGCUUUCAGUAUAUCCUGGUAACAAGGUUGUGGGGAUUCCCAGCCCUCAUCACCUUUAAAUUCUCAGAUGUCACUGCCAUUUAUCCAAAGAGUUACCUUGUGUGAUUAAAUUGGUCUGUUUGUUUGAAGCACUUCAUUCCAAUGAGAUGUGGACACAGAAGUGUUUCGGAAGAAGAGAUAAUGUUUGAAAACUACAAAAUUACCUCGUGUGGUAGACUGAAUAAUGACCCUCAAAGAUGUCCACAUUCCUAAUCCCUGGAACCUGUGAAUGUUACAUUAUAUGGUAAAAGAGAUCUAGCAAAUGUGAUUAAAUUCAGGAUCUUGAGCUAGGGAGAUUAUCCUGGAUUAUCCACGUGGGCCCAGUCCAAUCACAUGAAUCCUUAAAAGUGGAGAAUCUUCCUGGCUAUGUCAGCCAGAUGAGAUUGAAAAGCAGGAACGAUGGAAGCAAUGUGAGGGGCUCAGUCCCCUGCUGCUGACUUUGAAGACGGAGGGAAUGGGCCAUGAGCCAGUGAAUGCCGGGAUCCUUACAAGAGAGAAACGGGCUAGAGUUGUAGAAGUCAAAGGUAGAAGCUGAAAAAGACAAGAAAAAGGAUUGUUCCCUAGAGCCUCCAGAAGGAACCACACCUCGAUUUUAGCCCAGGGAAUCUGAUUUUGGAUUUCUGAUCUCCAGAACUAUAACAGAAUAAACUUGUGUUUUUUUAAAGCCA